rnacentral:rRNA from 1 species
GUGGGGAAUAUUGGACAAUGGGCGCAAGCCUGAUCCAGCCAUGCCGCGUGAGUGAUGAAGGCCUUAGGGUUGUAAAGCUCUUUCAGUGGGGACGAUAAUGACGGUACCCACAGAAGAAGCCCCGGCUAACUUCGUGCCAGCAGCCGCGGUAAUACGAAGGGGGCUAGCGUUGUUCGGAUUUACUGGGCGUAAAGCGCACGUAGGCGGAUCGUUAAGUCGGGGGUGAAAUCCUGGAGCUCAACUCCAGAACUGCCUUCGAUACUGGCGAUCUUGAGUCCGGAAGAGGUGAGUGGAACUCCUAGUGUAGAGGUGGAAUUCGUAGAUAUUAGGAAGAACACCAGUGGAGAAGGCGGCUCACUGGUCCGGUACUGACGCUGAGGUGCGAAAGCGUGGGGAGCAAACAGGAUUAGAAACCCGUGUAGUCC